rnacentral:lncRNA from 1 species
AUAGCGCAGCGCACCGACACCUGCAGUAGGAUGUAAAGGGAAUUCCCACUCACCAAACUGAAUCAACCACAGAUCUGCCAUCAUCCUCAUCACUGCCUCAUCUGAGCGAGAGGAAAAAGAAAGUCAGAGCAUGGUCUGGUGUGGCGGCCGCUGUUGCUAUGUGU